GGCGGACGGGUGAGUAACGCGUAAGAAUCUACCCAAGAGUUCUGAAUAACCUGUCGAAAGACGGGCUAAUACGGAAUAGUAUCUCCGGAUUAAAGGGUUUAACUACCCGCUUUUGGAUGAGCUUGCGUCCUAUCAGCUAGUUGGUGAGGUAAAGGCCCACCAAGGCUAUGACGGGUAUCUGGACUGAGAGGUCGGACAGACACAGGGGCACUGAGACACGGGCUCCACAUCUACGGAUGGCAGCAACCAGGAAUAUUGGGCAAUGGGCGAAAGCCUGACCCAGCGACGCCGCGUGGAGGAUGAAGGCCUUAGGGUCGUAAACUCCUUUUGCCAAGCUCUUCACAGCUUGGCGAAUAAGCACCUACUAACUACGUGCCAGAAGUCUCGGUAAUACGUAGGGUGCAAGCGUUAUCCGGAUUUACUGGGCGUAAAGAGUGUGUAGGCGGUCUUUUAAGUCUCUAUUUAAAGACCGGGGCUUAACCCCGGUUCUGGUAGGGAUACUAUUUGACUGGAAGAUUAUUCGGGUUGCUGGAACAGUUGGUGUAGUGGUGAAAUACGUUGAUAUCAACUGGAACACCGAAGGCGAAGGCAAGUAACUAGGAUUUUCUUGACGCUGAGACACGAAAGCCAGGGGAGCGAAACAGAUUAGAGACCUGUGUAGUCCUGGCCGUAAACGAUGGAUACUAGCUAGUGUGCAAGCACUGGCGUAAGCUAACGCGUUAAGUAUCCUCCUGGGGAGUACGACCGCAAGGUUAAAACUCAAAGGAAUUGACGGGGACCCGCACAACCAGUGGAGCGUGUGGUUUAAUUCGAGACGAAGCGAAAAACCUCACCAAGGCUUGACAUGCUAGAGUUCUAGUCACCCCAAAAGGUGAUGAUUCGUAAGAAGACUAGCACAGGUGCUGCAUGGCUGUCGUCAGCUCGUGCCGUGAGGUGUUCCCUUAAGUGGGGAAACGAGUGCAACCCUUGUCUAAUGUUAAAUAUUCAUUAGAGACUGCCUGACUUUUGUCAGGAGGAAGGAAAGGCGGACGUCAAGUCAGCAUGGCCCUUAUGCCUUGGGCUACACACACCCUACAAUGGCGAAGAACAAUGGGUCGCAAGCUCGCAAGAGCAAGCUAAUCUCAGAAAUUUCGCCUCAGUUCAGAUUGGGGUCUGCAACUCGACCCCAUGAAGUUGGAAUUGGUAGUAAUCGCGGAUCAGCGGGCCGCGGUGAAUACGUUAUCGGGUCUUGUACACACCGUC
rnacentral:rRNA from 1 species